rnacentral:lncRNA from 1 species
AAAAGAGCCACGGCUUCAAUCAAAGCGACCUUGGCCACGACCAGUGUUAUAGUGUUCAUACUUCUCGGGUUGUGAUUACCUUCAGCAGAUAGAUAAUUAGGUUGUGUCGCAUUUGAUUGAUCAAUAUAUGCAAAAUAGUUCGGUUAGCAAGCUCCCGAUGGAAUUUCUUGAUUUGGGCCUUUGAACCAUGAGAAGAGAUUCACUGUCUUCAAUACAUGGUGAAUCUAAGAGACUAUGAAUCAUCAAAACAAACAUAUUUUACUACUCAGUCAAUUCUUCAAGGAUCACAUCAAGAUGAUCUUGAUCAGUGACAUUGUAU